rnacentral:ncRNA from 1 species
ACACAACUCUGGAGAGUCCCUUAAAUGGGCGCCGAAGGUGCACGGGACUGAUCGAUGUAACACGAUAAACCAUCAUUGGAAUGUCAGUUACGAAUCAAUCCCUUAUCUCUCAGGCCAAAGGACAGAGC